UGCCAGCCGCCGCGGUAAUACGAAGGGGGCGAGCGUUGUUCGGAAUUAUUGGGCGUAAAGCGUAUGUAGGUGGUCUUUCAAGUCAGACGUGUAAGCCCUCGGCUCAACCGAGGAAUUGCGUUUGAAACUGAUCGACUUGAGUGCAGGAGAGGAAAGCGGAAUUCCCAGUGUAGCGGUGAAAUGCGUUGAUAUUGGGAAGAACACCGGUGGCGAAGGCGGAUUUCUGGUCUGCUACUGACACUGAGGUACGAAAGCGGGGGGAGCAAAGGGGAUGAGAUA
rnacentral:rRNA from 1 species